AUUGAACGCUGGCGGAAUGCUUUACACAUGCAAGUCGAGCGGCAGCGCGGGGCAACCUGGCGGCGAGCGGCGAACGGGUGAGUAACAUAUCGGAACGUAUCCUUAAGUGGGGGACGAACCUAGCGAAAGUUAGGCUAACACCGCAUACGCAGGGAACUGGAAAGUGGGGGAUCGCAAGACCUCACGCUUUUGGAGCGGCCGAUAUCAGAUUAGCUUGUUGGUGAGGUAAAGGCUCACCAAGGCGACGAUCUGUAGCUGGUCUGAGAGGAUGAUCAGCCACACUGGGACUGAGACACGGCCCAGACUCCUACGGGAGGCAGCAGUGGGGAAUUUUGGACAAUGGGGGCAACCCUGAUUCAGCCAUUCCGCGUGAGUGAAGAAGGCCU
rnacentral:rRNA from 1 species